GGGUUAGUGGUCUAGCGGUUUACGAUUCUCGCUUUGGGUUAGAAAAUGCGAGAGGCCCCGGGUUCGAAUCCCGGCUGACUCC
rnacentral:tRNA from 2 species